AACCUCCGCAAUGUGAGAAAUCGCGACGGGGGGAUCCCAAGUGCCAUUCUUAACGGGAUGGCUUUUCAUUAGUGUAAAAAGCUUUUGGAAUAAGAGCUGGGCAAGACCGGUGCCAGCCGCCGCGGUAACACCGGCAGCUCUAGUGGUAGCAAUUUUUAUUGGGCCUAGAGCGUCCGUAGCCGGUUUAAUAAGUCUCUGGUGAAAUCCUGUAGCUUAACUGUGGGAAUUGCUGGAGAUACUAUUAGACUUGAGACCGGGAGAGGUUAGAGGUACUCCCAGGGUAGAGGUGAAAUUCUGUAAUCCUGGGAGGACCGCCUGCUGCGAAGGCGUCUAACUGGAACGGUUCUGACGGUGAGGGACGAAAGUUAGGGGCGCGAACCGGAUUAGAUACCCGGGUAGUCCUAACUGUAAACGAUGCGGACUUGGUGUUGGGGUGGCUUUGAGCUGCUCAGUGCCGAAGGGAAGCUGUUAAGUCCGCCGCCUGGGAAGUACGGUCGCAAGACUGAAACUUAAAGGAAUU
rnacentral:rRNA from 1 species